UACGUAGGGUGCAAGCGUUAAUCGGAAUUACUGGGCGUAAAGCGUGCGCAGGCGGUUGUGUAAGACAGAUGUGAAAUCCCCGGGCUCAACCUGGGAACUGCAUUUGUGACUGCACAGCUGGAGUGCGGCAGAGGGGGAUGGAAUUCCGCGUGUAGCAGUGAAAUGCGUAGAUAUGCGGAGGAACACCGAUGGCGAAGGCAAUCCCCUGGGCCUGCACUGACGCUCAUGCACGAAGGCGUGGGGAGCAAACAGG
rnacentral:rRNA from 1 species